AUCGCUUCUCAAGCCUUUGGCUAAAGAUCCAAGUGUAACUAUUCUUAUCAGUUUAAUAUCGAUAUGUCUCUAUAGAGGGAUUAAAUAUUAAAUGCAUUUUUGAGCAGUGGGAAGUGCAACUGGGCUUUUCCUCUUCACUCCUUUGACGUGACCUGAAGCCAUUGCAGUGCCACCGGGAACGGUGCACCAUUC